UGUGUGUUGUGGUGUCUGAGUUUGAGCAGCGUAAUUAUUCCAUAAGACAAUGACAGCUCCCGUCUCUCCAUGACACCCACCGCGGCCCCUCCACAGCUCUCCUCCCCGUGGCUCAUCGACGGGCCUUUUAUUGAAGGGGAUUGGCACCAAAUUUCCACGUCGUAUCCCGCAAGAAAAGGACCUUUUUGAUUUGUAUGAGGAUGAUUGAGUACGGCAUUAUGAAAAGCACAAAGACCUCCAGACAGCAGGCAAAGAGGAUCGAUUGGCUGACGGGUGAACGCUAGAUUGUUGUGAACUAGUCAUGCUCAUCAUAUUUGAUGUAGGGUUUUGGUGUUUGAGUGAGUUUUCAAACUCUGCAUAUUCAGUUAUUUUUGCUGUAUUUUAACUUCCCUGAUGCCCUGCAGCUCAGCACGGGUGAUGUAACAUCUUCAGACUUCUUUUCGUUGCCUCCUGUUACCUUGAAAAUGUGGAAAUCAAAGUUCUUUAUGCUUUAAGAGCCAAUGAAUGCUGCUAAUUGGCCUCAACCCAACACAACCCUUCUUUGUAGCAGGGUGCACUUUGAGACUUUCGCCACGGUGCAUUUGCAUAUUUUUGUCCACAAACACAGACACAAAUAUACGGUUUGCUACAGAUUGAGGAGAGCAUAAAAAUGAAAAAGUUGCAAUCAGCCAAUGUCCUGGAUGUAUUCAGAUUAACUCUCUUUGAAGAGUCAUGUCCGUUCUUCACUAAGAAGAAAAAUAAAUCACUAAUGGACAUUAACUGUGACUCAUAAAUCGGCUGAUCAACUUCUAUUCCCACAAAAGAAAAUGUCUGUUAAACAUGCAUGAACCUCUGCGUAUUGGGUUCUGCAGGUAAGAAAGCCAGUUUUCACGUCUUUGGAAAGUUAUUCUUCUGUCCUCAGGGCGAGAGACGAUCUCCUCAGUUCUAACACCGCUGGAUGAGAGAUGAGCCGCGAUCGUCCCCGGCUGGGACGAUCUUCCUGGACGGCGCGACGUUUUGGACCCAUCUGGCCCCGAGCCCGUCCCCUGCCAGACGUCCCGUUAAUGAAAUGGCAGCAGCCCAAUGCUCCGUAUCUGUCAUCAGCAAUCUGCAUCUGCUCAGGGACUCAACGGAAAUGAGGAAGAGGGAUGAACACGGAGGAAGGCAGAGAGACUCUGUGUCCCCCGAGCAGGUGCCAUGUUUGUGUGCGUGUGCGUGUCAGGGUGAAUGCGUGUGUGUGUGUGUGUGUGUGUGUGCGUGUGUGGUGGCUCCGUCCCUGUUUUUAGCACAGCGUGAAAUCUAAGUUAUAGAUUUCUUUUUUUGAGAGGAGAAAGUAGCCACAGCGGGCCGCCUCAUCUUUCAUCUCCACUGGAUCAAAUAGUGGACAAAUCCGCUCAAUUCAACCCGUAGAUUCUACUGUGACUUUCCUCUACC
ensembl:lncRNA